UGUGGCUCAGUGGUGGAGCACUUGCCUGGGAUACAUGAGAUCCUAGGUUCUAACUCUAGCA
rnacentral:tRNA from 1 species